CGGAGGGUGCAAGCGUUAUCCGGAUUUAUUGGGUUUAAAGGGUCCGCAGGCGGACUUGUAAGUCAGAGGUGAAAGCCGGCAGCUCAACUGUCGAACUGCCUUUGAUACUGCAAGUCUUGAGUGAGGUUGAAGUAGCUAGAAUGAGUAGUGUAGCGGUGAAAUGCAUAGAUAUUACUCAGAAUACCAAUUGCGAAGGCAGGUUACUAAGUCUUAACUGACGCUGAGGGACGAAAGCGUGGGGAGCGAACAGGAUUAGAUACCCUGGUAGUCCACGCCGUAAACGAUGGAUACUGUCUGUUGGGGAGCAAUUCUCAGUGGAUAAGCGAAAGUGAUAAGUAUCCCACCUGGGGAGUACGUUCGCAAGAAUG
rnacentral:rRNA from 1 species